ACGCCAAUAUCUACACCCGAGCAGGGGUAAAUAACACGGGAAUACCAAAUUUCGGUAUUGCUUGGGCAAAUAACAGGGACCAAAAUGUGCACUUGGUUGCCCAGUAAUAGAUGGUAAAAUACCAUAAAAUCAAAGAGUCUUGAAAAUAGAGCGCGGACUCGGAACAAAUUUCCAUUUAAUCCAUGGUACCAACCAAAGGUACAACCGUAACGCCUUCGAUGCGUUAUGAUUUUUUUGGCGUUAUGGAUACCCGUUACGAAAGUUUUUUUUCAUCACAGCAAACCGCCCAUUUUUUCAAGUUUGACCGUUUGACAGAUUGGAUAAAAAAACAAGAGCAUUGUUUUGCAUUCCAAGCUCCCGUUUUCGUGGGAAUUACCAAAUUAUGCAUUGGGAAGUGAUUUUUGCAUACAAUCAUUGGCAGUGACAAUCAGUAGCAGAAAAAUCGUCAUCGAGGGGCCUGGUCGCCUUGCGUUGCAACACGUCGCGAGACAGAUACGACACGGUGAAAAAGAUCAUCUUUACGGAAAGUCCAAAAGAUACAGCUUGUGCUACCUUUCCAACGCCAUCACUGACGAUUCUUAUCAUUUCCGGUCGAAUUGUCGCCGCAAAUCUGCCGGGCGGCGAGGGUCAUCCGGAUGAACCAAAUUUUUGGAGAAAUAAAUAACACGAUACUCGAUGAUUACGUACUAAUUGAAAUUUUCAAUUUAAUUGUUGACUUUAAAAUACAAAAUAAAACAAUGGAAUCACCAUCAAAAGAGUUUACGUGAUAGUCAAUUUUCUGCUGCUUGAGAUGUAAAAGUUUCUGGAGAUGAAGAAUCCCCGGGAAGCAUCAAUCCGUUGUAUUUACGCGACUAAAUAUUCUAAUAAAUAAAAUUACGAGAACCUGUCGGUUGGAGCACAGGCCGUGUAGAGUCGUGGUGUUUAUGAUCACCUCCGAAUACAUUUCCUUGAUUGGUUCCAAAGGUGGGUGGCUUCAGCUGUAGAGUUCUUCGCUGGGGGAAAGUGUGUACAUACGUUAGAGUUAAGAGGUGUGUGGAACGUAGUUCUAUAAGAGCCCGAAACAACAGAACGAAAGAGGAUUUCUGGGAUUGCCGGUAAGCGGAUGGUCGAAGGAUUGAACUGUCAGCGUCAGCACUACUACAGGCCGUUCUUGAUGAGAUUAAAAAAAAAAGAAUUUUCGCUCCGCUUCGGUUCGGUCUUACUGGACAUCGUGAAUAUUUUCCCUACCUGGGAAACAGGUCCACUCUCGGUUCGCCCGGAUGCUGAGUCAACCGAUCAACAAAGUUCGGAAUACAACAAUUCUCACUGGACGCAGCCGAGAAAAAUAAGCUUUCCUAUAUGGUCAGUUAAAGGCGCGGCAUUCGCCAACCAGGGUAGGUAAACCAUCACCAUCGCACUAUCAUUGAUGCAUAUUUCGGUACGUUCCUCGUCUCUUAAAAUUUCUCUUCUCUUUCGCAGCCGAGUGAUGGUCGGCUUGCUAUCGCGAAUAUCGAAAGCCCAACGAACCGAUGAGAAAUACCGUAUCGCUGGCUCCGAUGGAAGUAUCGUUCCAACCGGAGAGACACGCACACGAAAUUGCUGUAUACAUACACUGGAGCUCACGCACACAAAUGAACUCAUUUCUACAGGGCUUACGGGCGUGAGAAUUUCACGAUUGCUCUUUCUCUUGCUUUUUGAGUGAGGGGACUGGCCGUGUGAGAGAUUUUUUUCCGUCUUACGCAUCGGUUUGUUCGUUGCUCGCUAUUUCAUCGGCGUCGUUUUCGCUUCGCUCUCUUGAUGCAGUUUUGGGAGAGCGCCGAAAAUUUGAUGAUUUGAGCGAGGGACGAUAUUUAAAAGCCCUCGCCAUCGGCGAGGAAACGAGAAAAUACCAUCCCUGUCGCCAACUAAAUAACCGGACUACCUGAGACAGAAACUGGCCGCCACAACGUGCAAAUACUCUCUCUGUGGCGUGUGUCUUACUAUCAACUGUUUAGACAUUUAUUUUUUCCAAACAGAGAAAAUUUUUGACAUUUAGAAAUGUCAUAAAAAACGUAACGCCUAGACUCCACUGAACAUAAAAUGCUCAACCCAUUUUUAUUUUUGCUGGCUGCUGCGAUGUGCAUGUACCGCGUGUACCGCGUUACGGGGUCAAAAAUUAAUUGCCAGUGUACCCCUCUCAUUUCCCUUCUCUCUGAUAAAAUCAUACCAAAGUCUUGUAUGUGGAAGACCACAACAAUACCAAACCAUGAUAUUCCAAGUUUGAAAUUUCCGGUUUUCAAUGAAAGCCUUCGCUUUGAGACAUCAUUUUAGCGCAAAAUUAAUUAUUUUGUCAAAAUUGGUCAAAAUUUUCCCAUAGUUUCAGAAGAAUUUGAUAAAAUACUGAAAUUCCAAAAGAAUACCAAAAUGUGGUGUUCGACCAUUGACAAAUUCUGCAAUUUUGCAAUAUCAAAACAAUACCUUAAAUUGGUAUGAUACCACAUUUUGCUCUUGCAUAAUCCUUAAGACAAUUUUUAAAGGGUCCAGGAAUACCAAAAUUUGGUAUUGAUACCAGAGAAAGGUAUUAUUACGCAUUACCCUUGUUAUUUACCAGGGGCUAGCUGGGCGGCAGCCAUCUUGGUGGUUAGGAUAACUGCUGUCGCACGAGCAUGAAUACAACAACAAAAGAAAAAUCAAAACAAACAACAUUUAAUUUGCCUUCGGUGUGACUGUUACGAAUCUUGUUCUGAGCGAUUUUAACCCGUUUAAAAUCAAAUUUAUCAAAAUGAAGUGCUAUGUGCCGUCUUGCCAAACCGACUUCCACCACCUUCCGGAAGGAAUUUCUAAACAUAAGUUUCCUACCGAUGAGGACCGGCAACUGGAGUGGGUUAGGGCGAUUUCAACAGCCGAAAGCGUCGAUUUGGAUGCGAGCAAGAUCGAUUUCCGCCUGGAAAAUGUUUGCUCAAAACAUUUUGACCAAGCGUUCAUUUAUAAAGUUGGCCAGCGUAAUUUGCUUUCUAAGAAUGCUGUACCGUUUACGCCGUUCCGAUCCGAAAGCUUGUAACCUGCCUGCUGCAGUUUACCAUCGCAACAGUAGAAUUCUGCGAAUAAUAAGAAGAAUGCCCUAAGCCAUCCCGAUCAGGGCAAAAUUUGAUCUUUUGUCUUCUAGAUUUUUUAUAAAACCACUACUAAGUGUAGUGUUUUUAUAAAACCACUACACUUACAACACAAACAAUAAGCCAAGAACCAUCAUCAUCAUCAUCGAUCGCGGCUUCCCAGCAGCCGAUCGAUGCUGAUUGCGCGUUUACUCUCGCGAGCGCGUAAUCUCCAGCGAACUGCACGCACAUUUGGAACACAUGCACAUGAUAUUGGGCAAUUUAAAAAUCGAAGGCCGAUCAUUGAUUGAUUACCCUAGCACGUGAGCACAUUUAGCACAGACCUGUAAUCAUGUCUCAUGUAAAACCACAUUUACAUACCGGAUCAGCAUAAUCCAUGCCAGCACCAAACCAAUUUCCCGAGGGGGAAAUCAAGCCGAGCAGUUUGAGCCACCCUAGCAACGCCCCGGUACUCACUCUCCAAUCUCUUAUCGGCCGACGUCAACCAGAGCCGUGAGAGAUAACACGCGGCGCGAUCGGCCAACCAAUAUAGCCGAUCGUCGCCCGCAGAUCAUCAUCAGUCACUGGUUCAGCAUCAAAGAGACCGCCUCGAUCGUCGACCCGUCAAGUGUUCCGCCAGACGAUUGGCCAGCAGAAGUUUCGCUUAUUGUGUUUUCUUGUGGUGAAAACCGUCUCACCAGUAUAAUUUCGCGGAUUUUGUGGUUUUGAGACAGAUUUGUAAUUUUUGUUGUUUCGCCUAGGAUAAGGAUAUCGGCGUGGAAAAUUAACCGCACUGGAGUGCGAGGUGCCGCGGUACCGAAAAUUGGUCGCGGUGGAGAGUGAGGUGGCGUCUACUAUCAGCAUGGAAAGCAUGGCCAUGCUGGAGUAGUUGGAUAACUUGAGAUCGGUAAGAUUCAGCUGUGAAACCGUCUCUAAAAU